rnacentral:misc_RNA from 1 species
CUGGUUAACAAAACUUCAAAAUAUUAAACUGACUAGAUUAACAAAUAAACCAUCCUUUACGAUUUUUUUGGUACAAGAAUAAUAUUGUCAACUAAAACAUGCCGUAAAUGAGGAUUGAAUUGGCCUAAAAUCCUCUUAAAAUGUCUCCAUACGGAAGGAAAAAAAAUAAAACUAAAAAGAACAAAUAGAUUCGUGGAAAGGUGUUGGGUAGGUUACAGGAAGCAACUUUAUACUAUCAAAACCUGGAAGCAACAAACAAUCUUGGUCCACAGUAUGAUAUUAUAUGCGGUCUCUCUGAGCUCUGAGGAACUGCAAUACGACACUUUAGUCGAUCUUCACAGAUGAGUAGAUGAGCCUCGUGAACCAGAAGCAAGCGUAGAACCCGAUUGUGCCAGUCAAGACAAAGAAAGCAUAUGAUGCAAUCAACAUGUAGCCAAAGUAGAGCAUACCAGAUACGGGCUUUGUUAUCUCGAGCUUCGUGAAGAAAUAGAAUGCUGCAUAUAGGAAAAGGUAGAGAGCUGAUGACCCUGAAGUGAGGUAUGACCUCCACCACCAAAGGUAAUCCUCACUGCAUAGCUGGAAAUAGCAGAGCACAAUGGUGAUCUCGGCACAGGUGACGAUAAGGAUGACGAGCACAAUGAAGAGGAAACCAAAUAUGUAAUAGAACUGCUGUAGCCAGAUUGAAGUGAGGAUGAAGAAUAGCUCGAUGAAUACGGCUCCAAAUGGGAGUAUGCCACCGAUAAGGAUAGAGAACACUGGGUUCAUGUACCAGGCUUGCUCCGGUACUUGUCGAGGGAUCUUAUUUGUUUUCACAGGAUCCUCAAUAGCUGGCUUCUUAAAACCAACAUAACUGCCAACAAAAACGAGUGGUACAGCUAUGCCAAACCACAAGAAAACUAAAGCAAACAUGGUUCCAAAAGGCACCGCCCCUGACGAUUUCUCUCCCCAAAUUAGAGCAUUCAACACAAAGAAAAGAACAAAAACAACUCCGGGGAACAUGAGUGCUGUCUUGAGAGUGAUUUUCUUCCAUUCAGAUCCUUUGAACAUCUUGUAAAGGCGGGCUGAAGCAUAACCAGCAAAAACACCCAUGAAAGCCCAGAGAAGCAACAUUGCUGUCAUCAAUCCUCCCCGAUUUGAAGGGGAUAAGAAUCCAAGGACAGCAAAUGUCAUUGUAACUACUGUCAUUCCAAAGAACUGGACACCAGUACCAACAUAAACACACAACAGAUCAGAGUUAAUUGGAGGCCUAAAGACAUCCCCAUGGACCAAUUUCCAUCCUGUUUCUUCUUGAGCCUCUUCCUGGGUCUCCAACUGAUUAUACUUGGAAAUGUCACGGUAGAGGGUCCGCAACAUAAUCAUUGCUACCAUUCCCGACAGGAAAAG